rnacentral:rRNA from 1 species
CCUACGGGGUGCAGCAGUGGGGAAUAUUGCGCAAUGGGCGAAAGCCUGACGCAGCGACGCCGCGUGAGGGAUGAAGGUCUUCGGAUCGUAAACCUCUGUCAGCAGGGAAGAACGGUCACUGUGCUAAUCCGCAGUGAAUUGACGGUACCUGCAAAGGAAGCACCGGCUUACUCCGUGCCAGCAGCCGCGGUAAUACGGAGGGUGCGAGCGUUAAUCGGAAUUACUGGGCGUAAACCGCUCGUAGGAGGUAUGUCAAUUCAAGGGUUAAAUCCCCCCGCUAAACGGGGUGAAGUGCCAUUGAUACUGACUGGCUGGAAUGCGGAUGCCGUGGGAGGAAUGUGUGGUGUAGCGGUGAAAUGCAUAGAUAUCACACAGAACACCGAUUGCGAAGGCAUCUCACGAAUCCGCGAUUGACGCUGAUGCACGAAAGCGUGGGUAUCAAACAGGAUUAGAUACCCUGGUAGUC